AAGACCUUGCGCUUUUGGAGCGGCCGAUGCCUGAUUAGCUUGUUGGUAAGGUAAAAGCUUACCAAGGCUUCGAUUAGUAGCUGGUCUGAGAGGACGACCAGCCACACUGGGACUGAGACACGGCCCAGACUCCUACGGGAGGCAGCAGUGGGGAAUUUUGGACAACGGGGGCAACCCUGAUCCAGCCAUGCCGCGUGAGUGAAGAAGGCCUUCGGGUUGUAAAGCUCUUUCAGCCGGAACGAAACGGUUACGGAUAACACCCGUGACUACUGACGGUACCGGAAGAAGAAGCACCGGCUAACUACGUGCCAGCAGCCGCGGUAAUACGUAGGGUGCGAGCGUUAAUCGGAAUUACUGGGCGUAAAGCGUGCGCAGGUGGUUUUGUAAGUCAGAUGUGAAAGCCCCGGGCUCAACCUGGGAACU
rnacentral:rRNA from 1 species